rnacentral:rRNA from 1 species
UCAGAUUGAACGCUGGCGGCAUGCUUUACACAUGCUAGUCGAACGGUAACAGGGAGCUUGCUCCGCUGACGAGUGGCGAACGGGUGAGUAAUAUAUCGGAACGUACCCAAGAGUGGGGGAUAACGUAGCGAAAGUUACGCUAAUACCGCAUACGAUCUAAGGAUGAAAGCAGGGGAUCUUCGGACCUUGUGCUCCUGAGCGGCCGAUAUCUGAUUAGCUAGUUGGUGAGGUAAAGGCUCACCAAGGCGACGAUCAGUAGCUGGUCUGAGAGGACGACCAGCCACACUGGAACUGAGACACGGUCCAGACUCCUACGGGAGGCAGCAGUGGGGAAUUUUGGACAAUGGGCGCAAGCCUGAUCCAGCAAUGCCGCGUGAGUGAAGAAGGCCUUCGGGUUGUAAAGCUCUUUUGUCAGGGAAGAAACGGGAGUGGCUAAUAUCCAUUCUUAAUGACGGUACCUGAAGAAUAAGCACCGGCUAACUACGUGCCAGCAGCCGCGGUAAUACGUAGGGUGCAAGCGUUAAUCGGAAUUACUGGGCGUAAAGCGUGCGCAGGCGGUUUUGUAAGUCUGUCGUGAGAUCCCCGGGCUCAACCUGGGAAUUGCGAUGGAGACUGCGAGGCUAGAAUCUGGCAGAGGGGGGUAGAAUUCCACGUGUAGCAGUGAAAUGCGUAGAGAUGUGGAGGAACACCGAUGGCGAAGGCAGCCCCCUGGGUCAAGAUUGACGCUCAUGCACGAAAGCGUGGGGAGCAAACAGGAUUAGAUACCCUGGUAGUCCACGCCCUAAACGAUGUCUACUAGUUGUCGGGUUUUAAUUAACUUGGUAACGCAGCUAACGCGUGAGGUAGACCGCCUGGGGAGUACGGUCGCAAGAUUAAAACUCAAAGGAAUUGACGGGGACCCGCACAAGCGGUGGAUGAUGUGGAUUAAUUCGAUGCAACGCGAAAAACCUUACCUACCCUUGACAUGUACGGAAGCCACGAGAGAUCGAGGUGUGCUCGAAAGAGAGCCGUAACACAGGUGCUGCAUGGCUGUCGUCAGCUCGUGUCGUGAGAUGUUGGGUUAAGUCCCGCAACGAGCGCAACCCUUGUCAUUAGUUGCUACAUUUAGUUGAGCACUCUAAUGAGACUGCCGGGACAAACCGGAGGAAGGUGGGGAUGACGUCAAGUCCUCAUGGCCCUUAUGGGUAGGGCUUCACACGUCAUACAAUGGUACAUACAGAGGGCCGCCAACCCGCGAGGGGGAGCUAAUCCCAGAAAGUGUAUCGUAGUCCGGAUCGCAGUCUGCAACUCGACUGCGUGAAGUUGGAAUCGCUAGUAAUCGCGGAUCAGCAUGUCCCGGUGAAUACGUU